CUACGGGUGGCUCCAGUGAGGAAUAUUGCACAAUGGGGGGAGCCCUGAUGCAGCAACGCCGCGUGGAGGAUGACGCAUUUCGGUGUGUAAACUCCUUUUAUAUGUCAAGAAAAUAACGGUAGCAUAUGAAUAAGCACCGGCUAACUCCGUGCCAGCAGCCGCGGUAAUACGGAGGGUGCAAGCGUUACUCGGAAUCACUGGGCGUAAAGGACGCGUAGGCGGGUUGGAAAGUCAGGUGUGAAAUCCUACAGCUUAACUGUAGAACUGCACUUGAAACUUCUAAUCUAGAGUAUGGGAGGGGGAGAUGGAAUUAGUGGUGUAGGGGUAAAAUCCGUAGAUAUCACUAGGAAUACCUAAAGCGAAGGCGAUCUCCUGGAACAUUACUGACGCUAAGGCGUGAAAGCGUGGGGAGCAAACAGGAUUAGAUACCCUUGUAGUC
rnacentral:rRNA from 1 species